rnacentral:rRNA from 1 species
UACAGAGGUCUCAAGCGUUGUUCGGAUUCAUUGGGCGUAAAGGGUGCGUAGGUGGCGGGGUUAGUCAGGUGUGAAAUCUCGGGGCUCAACCCCGAAACUGCACUAGAUACUGCCUUGCUAGAGUACUGGAGAGGAGAUUGGAAUUUACGGUGUAGCAGUGAAAUGCGUAGAUAUCGUAAGGAAGACCAGUGGCGAAGGCGAAUCUCUGGACAGUUACUGACACUGAGGCACGAAGGCCAGGGGAGCAAACGGG